GACGAACGCUGGCGGCAUGCCUAAUACAUGCAAGUCGAGCGAACAGAUGAAGUGCUUGCACUUCUGACGUUAGCGGCGAACGGGUGAGUAACACGUAAGGAAUCUACCUAUAAGCGGGGGAUAACAUUCGGAAACGGGUGCUAAUACCGCAUAAUAUCUUCUUCCGCAUGGAAGAAGAUUGAAAGACGGCUCUGCUGUCACUUAUAGAUGACCUUGCGGUGCAUUAGUUAGUUGGUGGGGUAAUGGCCUACCAAGACGAUGAUGCAUAGCCGGCCUGAGAGGGUGAUCGGCCACAUUGGGACUGAGACACGGCCCAAACUCCGACGGGAGGCAGCAGUAGGGAAUCUACGGUAAUGGGCGAAAGCGUGACGGAGCAAUGCCGCGUGAGUGAAGAAGGCCUUCGGGUCGUAAAACUCUGUUAUAAGAGAAGAACAAAUUGUAGAGUAACUGCUACAGUCUUGACGGUAUCUUAUCAGAAAGCCACGGCUAACUACGUGCCAGCCGCCGCAGUAA
rnacentral:rRNA from 1 species